rnacentral:lncRNA from 1 species
UUCAACCUCUUUACCUAUUCAGUGACACCAACAACACAUAACACUCUUCACCCAGCAGAAUCUAUACCUUUUUUUUUUUUCUUUCUCUCUUCUAUUCUCAAAUUCUCAAAUCCAAACAUUUUUUUCUCUUUUCAUUCAAGAGAAGUUUCAACGAAAGUCUCCUUCAGUCACAGGAAUAAUCACCAUCUUCUUUCUCACCACCCAUGAUGUUAAAACCCUUUUCCUUUCUCUUUAUUCUUAUCAUCACUCUCUAAUUCUUUCCGUUUUUAAUAUAUACACCCGUCUUUUAC